rnacentral:lncRNA from 1 species
CUCAGUUCCCAUGGUGAUGGGGCUUGUGAGGUGAAGGCGGGUGUGGGAGGGAGAACAAUGCUGUCCUGGCACCAGUGACAUCAGUGGCCUGGCCUGGAGGGAGACUGGCACCCACCGGACCAGCAGCUUAGCCGAUAGAGCCGGACUCAGAGUUCCAGGCAAGGCUCUCACAGGAAACCUGGUUAUAAUCAUAUCGUCUGUGGCUCCUGGAGACCAAGUGUCCCAUCCUUCCUUGGUGUGGCACAGACAAUGCUAUAUGCUCAUGAGACCAUCUCAUUUCUCUUCUGGGCUUGUAGGAAAAGUACAUUUCCAACUCCAUGGACCUUGAAAGCUGUUCUUUGGACCCAGCAAAGCCCCACCGUGGUUGGAACGUGGGUCUCUGAGUGACUGCGUGGAGAAGAACCACUACCCUCUGCCCAAUGUAUUGGUGACAUCAGUGAGCUGUAAACUGUUAUUGGACUAAGCCAUCAAGAUUUGGGCGUUUGUUUGUUACCACAGCAACACCUGCUUUGCACGGACUAAUACAUCAUGUUCACAGACACUGCUGAUGUGUUUCACCAGAUUUAGUUUUCUCCUGAUGGUUUCUGCAGCGGGUUCUGGAGCUGUGUUCCUACCUCAAUACCUACCCUAGCAUCAAAGUCCCUGGUGGGAAAGCAAUGCUUUCUCACAUUAUGAAGAUGGAAAAGAAUAUCGUCAGGGAGAACAUCACCAGCCCAGAAAAUUGGCUGUCAGCUCCAGGCCUCCAACCCUUAUAUUUAUUCCUGGGAAACCCUUGCUAAGUUAGGCAUUGAUUCUCUGCAUGUGACACGCCAUAAUAACUUCUAACUUGGA